CCUGGUCUAGCUAUAUGUUCAGAUGCAGGAAAAGGGAUUGACACUGCAAUCGAACAGGUAUUUGGGUAUGCUGAACAUAGAGAAUGCAUGCGACACUUGGUUGUGAACUUCAAGAAAAAAUUCCAUGGUAAAGUUUUUGAUGAUCAUUUGUGGCCAACUGCUUAUUCAUGAACUCCUCGAGGGUUUGACUAUCACAUGGCAGCCAUAGAGGAGAAAAAGGCUACUGCAAUAGCAUACUUAAACAAGUACCACAACAGGCUAUGGUCAAGGAGCAAAUAUUCAACCUCCUCAAAAGUGGAUUAUGUGACAAAUAAUUUGGCCGAGUGUUUCAACAACUGGAUCCGCAAGCACAAAGGUUUAAUGUUGUUUCAGCUCAUGGACAAGAUAAGGAGAAAGAUUACGAUUAAGUUUGAGAAGAGAAGGGUAGCUAGAAAAUUUCAAGGUCGGCGUAUACUUCCAAGUGUCAUGAAGGAGUUGAAUGACAUAAGCAGGGGGCUGGACAUUGAAUAUGAGAGAAUAGAUGACAUGAUUGCAGAGGUGAGUGAGAGUGUUGCGCUAGGUGGCAAGCGCCACGUCACUGAUCUAGCAAACAGGACAUGCACAUGCAGGGCAUUUCAAGUCUCCGGGAAGCCUUGCAAACAUGCAAUUAGCUUUAUUACUGGAAUUAGGGGGGUCACAAUAGAAGACUUCGUUGAUGAUUGUUACAGCGUUGCCAAGUUUGCUGCAGCUUAUACUCCUAUUCUUCCUGGCCUAACCGACAUGUCUCAAUGGCCAAGUGUGAACAAAGAAUUCUUCUUGAACCCCCCAAUCCUUAGGAGGGCCCCUGGGAGGCCAAAGGUACAGAGGCACAAAAGUGGUGCUGAAAAUAGCAAGGGAAAGGGAAAGAAAGGCCAACACCAAUGUCCAAUUUGCAAAGCUUAUGGACAUAGAUGGCAAAGCUGCAAAGAUGCUGCUCCUGAAGCACUAGAAGCCUAUGCGGAAGUAGCAAAGCAGAAAAGGUACUUUCUAUUUCAAUAUGAGAUUUCUGUUCCACCUUACUCUUGUCUUAAUUAA
rnacentral:rRNA from 1 species